CACUGAAUCUGUCUCAACAGCAGCAGCAACUUCUCCAUUGUCAUCAACACCAUUUACAUCAGCGACUGCAAGAACUUCCAAUAUAGAAACGAUGUCAACAUCAGGUGCAACUUCUCCAUUGGCAACAACAUUAUUCACAUCACGAACAUCACCGUUUUCUUCGACAACAGCUAUUUCAGACACUACAAUUAUUUCUCCAUCCACCAUUACCUCAGAAUCGACAACUUCAAGCACUGAAUCUAGCUCAACGGCAGCAACGUCUCCAUUGUCAACCACAGCAUUCACAUCUCCUACUACAACGUUUUCUUUCACAACACCUAUGUCAGACACUACAACUUUUUCCCCAUCUACCAUUACCUCAGGAUCGACAACUUCAAGCACUCAAUCUGUAUCAACAGCAGCAACAACGUCUCCAUUGUCAACAAAACCGUUCACAUCUCCGACUGCAACGUUUUCUUCCACAACACCUAUUUCAGACACUACAACUAUUUCUCCAUCCACCAUUACCUCAAAAUCAACAACUUCGAGCACUGAAUCUGUCUCAACAGCAGCAACAACGUCUCCAUUGUCAACAUCACCAAUCACAUCUCCGACCACUAAGAUUUCUACCACAACAACUACUCCAGCUAACACACCCUGUUCUCUGCCUUGCACCAAUGGAAUGUGCUUCAUUGAUCCCAGCACAAAAAACUCCACCUGCCAAUGCAAUACAGGAUUCGAACUACAUGAAGGUCAACCCAACUGCUUCGACAUCAAUGAAUGUGCGACACUGCCUCAACGGUGUGAGCAAGACUGUGUCAACACUGUUGGAAGCUACAUUUGUUCUUGCUUCCCCGGGUUUGAAGUGAACUCCACUAACAUUCACGGAUGUGUAGGUAUGUGAGUGCGCUACUGUAAACUGCAUUACGUGUUGGAUAAAGCAGGUUUCACAGCUUUUAUGGAAUGUAUUCAAUGAAUGCAUUUUUCAGUCAAUUCCAUUUAGCUCACUGAUUUUCAUGUCAAUAUUUACAAAACCGGUCCACACUAUACAAACAUUUUUGAAAGGCAAUUGAUUCUUCAAUUCUCAGCUGUUGCUAUUUGACCAAACAAAGCCGCCUCGUAGGCAAACGCCUACACUACGUCUGCGUUAUUGAGCUGUUCAUUAUUAACAUUUACCCUUAUAUGUGAAUUACAUUUCUCGUAAAUACAUUUUUUAAAUAAUAAUGAAUAAACAAAAUUUACAAAUAUUAUUGCACUGGACUGAAUAAUUAAAUAAACCUACAAAUGCGACAUGUACAUUUUAUAUUCUGGAAAAUACAUUAGCGUAACGUAGCACAUAUGUCCAUCCUUGAGACACAAAGGCAUAUUUCACAAAUCACAGAGCCCAAUUGUGCUCGACAAUAAAUAUAGUCCACUGAACAUGAUUCAUAUAUAGCUAUUCACGUAUGUAACAACACGACCAAACACAACAGGCAAAUGAUUCGGGUUUCAUUAUUUGAAUUUCAAUUUCGUUCCAAAAAAAAUGUGCAGCUAUUUUGCAUUAGAACAUGCACCCCCCUCUCUCCUCCACCUACCCCUUCUGUGCUCACACUAAAUUAGUGGAAGGAAUGCAAGACAAUUCUUCUUAAUUUAUGUUGUUAUUGACGAGUGUGU